rnacentral:rRNA from 1 species
UACGUAGGGUGCAAGCGUUGUCCGGAAUUAUUGGGCGUAAAGAGCUCGUAGGCGGUUUGUCGCGUCGGCUGUGAAAACCCGGGGCUCAACCCCGGGCCUGCAGUCGAUACGGGCAAACUAGAGUGUGGUAGGGGAGACUGGAAUUCCUGGUGUAGCGGUGAAAUGCGCAGAUAUCAGGAGGAACACCGGCGGUGUAGACGGCUUUCUGGACCGUAGCUGACGCUGAGACGCGAAAGCGUGGGUAGCAAACAGG